rnacentral:rRNA from 1 species
GACGAACGCUGGCGGCGUGCCUAAUACAUGCAAGUAGAACGCACAGUUUAUACCGUAGCUUGCUACGCCAUAGACUGUGAGUUGCGAACGGGUGAGUAACGCGUAGGUAACCUGCCUGGUAGCGGGGGAUAACUAUUGGAAACGAUAGCUAAUACCGCAUAAUAUUGAUUAUUGCAUGAUAAUUGAUUGAAAGAUGCUAUUGCAUCACUACCAGAUGGACCUGCGUUGUAUUAGCUAGUAGGUGAGGUAACGGCUCACCUAGGCGACGAUACAUAGCCGACCUGAGAGGGUGAUCGGCCACACUGGGACUGAGACACGGCCCAGACUCCUACGGGAGGCAGCAGUAGGGAAUCUUCGGCAAUGGACGAAAGUCUGACCGAGCAACGCCGCGUGAGUGAAGAAGGUUUUCGGAUCGUAAAGCUCUGUUGUAAGAGAAGAACGGGGGUGAGAGUGGAAAGUUCACACUGUGACGGUAUCUUACCAGAAAGGGACGGCUAACUACGUG